UAACGCGUAAAGAACUUGCCUCACAGCUAGGGACAACAUUUAGAAAUGAAUGCUAAUACCUGAUAUUAUGAUUUUAAGGCAUCUUAGAAUUAUGAAAGCUAUAAGCACUGUGAGAGAACUUUGCGUCCCAUUAGCUAGUUGGAGAGGUAACAGCUCACCAAGGCGAUGAUGGGUAGCCGGCCUGAGAGGGUGAACGGCCACAAGGGGACUGAGACACGGCCCUU
rnacentral:rRNA from 1 species